GACCGCGUAGCUCAGUUGGAAGAGCAUUGGGCUAGUAUUCCAAAGGUCGUAGGUUCAAAUCCCACCGUGGCCA